UUGGAUUCGUUGGCCCCUUCCUCGAAGAGGAGCGUGGCAAAG
rnacentral:rRNA from 1 species